CUAAUAUUUGGGCAUUUUUUUCCUGUUUCCAAUAGAAAAAGGGGCAUAGCCUUUAACUCUGAUAAUGUGAGUGUUAUGAAAGGCCGCCAUAACUCGGUCAUCAGCUGACCGAAGACCAGCCAGCCCCACAUCCAGGACCUUGGCUGCAUCUGCCACCUGGUACAGCUGACCAUCAGAGCAGCCCUGCAUACAUAUAGGCCUCCUAUAAUUCAAUUCAAUUCAAAUGAUGUCUAUGUAACAACAUUGCAUGUGGCCAACUCAUGAACAAGUGCAAAAUGAUGUGAAGUCUACAAAGAGGUGGAGUAUAGAGAUGGACAUCAGUUGGCUGAUGAAAUUCUUUGUGUCUGCUCCGACAAAGAGAUCUUCAUGAGAAGCGCUGAGCUCCCUGUGUCAGCCGAGAAGAAAAUCUUUCAAACUGUGAGAAGCUUCUAUGAGGC